GCUCUGGUCAGAGAGAUAAAAAUGUACUUGCCUCAAAAGUUCGGGGUCCCGGGUUCGAUUCCCGGUCGAGGAACU